ACGGGUGAGUAACGCGUGAGUAACCUGCCUUUCGGAGGGGGACAACAGCUGGAAACGGCUGCUAAUACCGCAUAAUGUAUAUUGAUGGCAUCAUCGAUAUACCAAAGAUUUAUCGCCGAAAGAUGGACUCGCGUCUGAUUAGCUAGUUGGUAGGGUAAUGGCCUACCAAGGCUUCGAUCAGUAGCCGGACUGAGAGGUUGAACGGCCACAUUGGGACUGAGAUACGGCCCAGACUCCUACGGGAGGCAGCAGUGGGGAAUAUUGGGCAAUGGGCGAAAGCCUGACCCAGCAACGCCGCGUGAAGGAAGAAGGCUUUCGGGUUGUAAACUUCUUUGACGAGGGACGAAAAAAAUGACGGUACCUCGAAAACAAGCCACGGCUAACUACGUGCCAGCAGCCGCGGUAAUACGUAGGUGGCAAGCGUUAUCCGGAUUUACUGGGUGUAAAGGGCGCGUAGGCGGGAGAACAAGUCAGAUGUGAAAUGUGGGGGCUUAACCCUCAAGCUGCAUUUGAAACUGUACUUCUUGAGUAUCGGAGAGGCAGGCGGAAUUCCUAGU
rnacentral:rRNA from 1 species